CCUACGGGUGGCAGCAGUGAGGAAUAUUGGUCAAUGGGCGCGAGUCUGAACCAGCCAAGUAGCGUGAAGGAUGACUGCCCUAUGGGUUGUAAACUUCUUUUAUAAAGGAAUAAAGUGAGGCACGUGUGCUUUUUUGUAUGUACUUUAUGAAUAAGGAUCGGCUAACUCCGUGCCAGCAGCCGCGGUAAUACGGAGGAUCCGAGCGUUAUCCGGAUUUAUUGGGUUUAAAGGGAGCGUAGGUGGGUUGUUAAGUCAGUUGUGAAAUUUCGGGGCUCAACCGGAGAACUGCAAGUGAUACUGGCAGUCUUGAGUGCAGUUGAGGUAGGCGGAAUGCGUGGUGUAGCGGUGAAAUGCUUAGAGAUCACGAAGAACUCCGAUUGCGAAGGCAGCUUACUAAACUGCCACUGACAUUGAUGCUCGAAAGUGUGGGUAUCAAACAGGAUUAGAUACCCUUGUAGUC
rnacentral:rRNA from 1 species